rnacentral:rRNA from 1 species
UACGGAGGAUGCGAGCGUUAUCCGGAUUUAUUGGGUUUAAAGGGUGCGCAGGCGGCGUGUCAAGUCAGCGGUAAAAUGUCGGGGCUCAACCCCGGCCGGCCGUUGAAACUGGCGUGCUCGAGUUGGAGAGAAGUAUGCGGAAUUCGUGGUGUAGCGGUGAAAUGCAUAGAUAUCACGCAGAACUCCGAUUGCGAAGGCAGCCUUCCGGCGCCCUACUGACGCUGAGGCACGAAAGUGCGGGGAUCGAACAGG